rnacentral:misc_RNA from 1 species
GAUGAAGAACGUAGCGAAAUGCGAUAAGUAAUGUGAAUUGCAGAAUUCAGUGAAUCAUCGAAUCUUUGAACGCACAUUGCGCCCGGCAGUACUCUGCCGGGCAUGCCUGUUCGAGCGUCAUUUCAACCCUCAAGCCCUGCUUGGUGUUGGGGUCCCACGGCCACCGUGGGCCCUGAAAGGAAGUGGCGGGCUCGCUACAACUCCGAGCGUAGUAAUUCAUUAUCUCGCUUAGGGCGUUGGGCGGCGCUCCUGCCGUUAAAGAACCAUCUUUAACUCAAGGUUGACCUCGGAUCAGGUAGGAAUACCCGCUGAACUUAAGCAUAUCAAUAAGCGGAGGA